rnacentral:rRNA from 1 species
AUUGAACGCUGGCGGCAUGCCUUACACAUGCAAGUCGAACGGCAGCGGACCUUCGGGUGCCGGCGAGUGGCGAACGGGUGAGUAAUAUAUCGGAACGUACCUUUCAGUGGGGGAUAACGUAGCGAAAGUUACGCUAAUACCGCAUAUUCUGUGAGCAGGAAAGCAGGGGAUCGCAAGACCUUGCGCUGAUUGAGCGGCCGAUAUCAGAUUAGCUAGUUGGUGAGGUAAAGGCUCACCAAGGCGACGAUCUGUAGCGGGUCUGAGAGGAUGAUCCGCCACACUGGAACUGAGACACGGUCCAGACUCCUACGGGAGGCAGCAGUGGGGAAUUUUGGACAAUGGGCGCAAGCCUGAUCCAGCCAUGCCGCGUGAGUGAAGAAGGCCUCGGUUGUAAGACUCUUUCGGUCCGGG